rnacentral:rRNA from 1 species
GUGCCAGCAGCCGCGGUAAUACGUAGGUGGCAAGCGUUAUCCGGAUUUAUUGGGCGUAAAGCGCGCGCAGGCGGUUUCUUAAGUCUGAUGUGAAAUCCCCCGGCUCAACCGUGGGGGGGCAUUGGAAACUGGGGGACUUGAGUGCAGAAGAGAAAAGCAGAAUUCCACGUGUAGCGGUGAAAUGCGUAGAGAUGUGGAGGAACACCAGUGGCGAAGGCGGCUUUUUGGUCUGUAACUGACGCUGAGGCGCGAAAGCGUGGGGAGCAAACAGGAUGAGAUACCCUGGUAGUCCACGCCGUAAACGAUGAGUGCUAAGUGUUAGAGGGUUUCCGCCCUUUAGUGCUGCAGUUAACACAAUAAGCACUCCGCCUGGGGAGUACGGUCGCAAGACUGAAACUUAAAGGAAUUGGCGG